UANUCUAGAGUAAGGGAGAGGCAGAUGGAAUUCUUGGUGUAGGGGUAAANUCCGUAGAUAUCAUGAAGAAUUCCUAUUGCGAAGGCGAUCUGCUGGAACUUAACUGACGCUAAUGCGUGAAAGCGUGGGGAGCAAACAGGAUUAGAUACCCUGGUAGUCCACGCCNUAAACGAUGUAUACCGGUUGUUGCUGUGCUAGUCACGGCAGUAAUCCACCUAACGGAUUAAGUAUACCGCCUGGGGAGUACGGUCGCAAGAUUAAAACUCAAAGGAAUAGACGGGGACCCGCACAAGCGGUGGAGCAUGUGGUUUAAUUCGAAGAUACGCGAAGAACCUUACCCGGACUUGAUAUCUAACAAAUCAUCCAGAGAUGGAAGAGUGUCUGCUUGCAGAAAUGUUAAGACAGGUGCUGCACGGCUGUCGUCAGCUCGUGUCGUGAGAUGUUGGGUUAAGUCCCGCAACGAGCGCAACCCACGUCAUUAGUUGCUAACGGUUCGGCCGAGCACUCUAAUGAGACUGCCUUCGUAAGGAGGAGGAAGGUGUGGACGACGUCAAGUCAUCAUGGCCCUUAUGUCCGGGGCGACACACGUGCUACAAUGGCAUAUACAAUAAGACGCAAUAUCGCGAGAUGGAGCAAAUCUAAAAAAUAUGUCCCAGUUCGGAUUGGAGUCUGCAACUCGACUCCAUGAAGCCGGAAUCGCUAGUAAUCGUAGAUCAGCCAUGCUACGGUGAAUACGUUCCCGGGUCUUGUACUCACCGCCCGUCACACCAUGGGAGUUGAUUUCACUCGAAGCGGGAAUGCGAAAUUCGCUACCCUCCACAGNGGAAU
rnacentral:rRNA from 1 species